AGAGUUUGAUCAUGGCUCAGAACGAACGCUGGCGGCAUGCUUAACACAUGCAAGUCGAACGGACCUUUCGGGGUCAGUGGCGCACGGGUGAGUAACGCGUGGGAACCUGUCGAGGAGUGGGGAACAACCAUUGGAAACGGUGGCUAAUACCGCAUGCUCCCUGAGGGGAAAAGGUCGCAAGACCGCUUUUCGAGGGGCCCGCGUCCGAUUACGCUGGUUGGUGGGGUAAUGGCCUACCAAGCCGACGACGGGUAGCUGGUCUGAGAGGACGAUCAGCCGGAUUGGGACUGAGAUACGGCCCAGACUCCUACGGGGGGCAGCAAUUAGGAAGCUUGCACAAUGGGGGAAACCCUGGUGCAGCGACGUCGCGUGAGGGAUGACGGAUUUCGGUCUGUAAACCUCUUUUGAUAGGGAAGAACUUUGACGGUACCUAUCGAAUCAGCCCCUGCUAACUACGUGCCAGCAGCCGCGGUAAUUC
rnacentral:rRNA from 1 species